CGUAAACGCUCUUCCGGUCCUCUCUCAUGCAUUUCUGAAUCAAGAUGACUAAGAAGAGGAGGAAUAAUGGUCGUGCCAAAAAGGGACGUGGACAUGUCCAGCCCAUCCGAUGCACGAACUGUGCCCGAUGUGUCCCUAAGGACAAAGCCAUCAAGAAGUUUGUCAUCAGAAAUAUUGUGGAGGCUGCAGCUGUUAGGGACAUCU